GCGGACGUGGUGCACGGCGCACUGCUGCCUUUAAUAUUGGGAGUUCACUGUGGUUGCAAGCAGUUGAGCGGGGUUCGACUCCCCGCGUCCGUA